rnacentral:rRNA from 1 species
UACGGAGGAUGCAAGCGUUAUCCGGAAUGAUUGGGCGUAAAGCGUCCGCAGGUGGCUGUGUAAGUCUGCUGUCAAAGAGCAAAGCUCAACUUUGUAAAGGCAGUGGAAACUACACGGCUAGAGUGCGUUCGGGGCAGAGGGAAUUCCUGGUGUAGCGGUGAAAUGCGUAGAGAUCAGGAAGAACACCCGUGGCUAAGGCGGCUCUCUAGUACGGUACUGACGCUGAGACGCGAAAGCGUGGGGAGCGAACAGG